rnacentral:rRNA from 1 species
AUGAAGAGAGCACCUGAAGCAGAAGAGCAGAAAUUAGCUAGCCAAGGUGAUGAAGCUGGUCGCGCCGACAAUAGUACACCGACACCAUGGCUAAAGCUGGGCCUUGAUGCACUGAGAAGUGAAGAAGCUAAGCCUCCAGAGGCCACCCCUCAACGGACGUUCUCCUGCAACUACUGCCUGAGGAAGUUCUUCAGCUCGCAGGCCCUUGGUGGGCACCAGAAUGCACACAAGAAGGAAAGGUGUGCAGCCAGGAGAUCACGAAGCUUUCAGCAACUGAUGAUACGCUUUCCUCCAGCUGCUUCCUUCAUCCAACCUAUGAGGGCCAGCCCCCACUCCACAAUUCUGACUGCGCAAGGUGAAAGGGCCGCUGUUGUUGUUGCAAGAUUUCAUGACGGCCAAAUGAGAAACAGGAUGCCUUUUGCAGUAGAGGAAGCUGCCUAUUUCGUGUGGCCUGGGAGCUUCAAAGCAAGUCUUCAGGAGCCCAUGAAGCAACCAGAGGAAAAUAUUGAUUUGAGCCUGCAUUUGUAA